rnacentral:rRNA from 1 species
AGGGCACCACCAGGAGUGGAGCCUGCGGCUUAAUUUGACUCAACACGGGGAAACUCACCCGGCCCGGACACCGGAAGGAUUGACAGAUUGAUAGCUCUUUCUUGAUUCGGUGGAUGGUGGUGCAUGGCCGUUCUUAGUUGGUGGAGCGAUCUGUCUGGUUAAUUCCGAUAACGAACGAGACUCUAGCCUAUUAAAUAGACGUCGGGUUCUCUGCACUCGACGGUCUUCUUAGAGGGACAAGGUGCUUUUAGCACCGCGAAACAGAGCAAUAACAGGUCUGUGAUGCCCUUAGAUGUCCGGGGCCGCACGCGCGCUACACUGAAGGAAGCAGCGUGUAACAACCUUGUUCUAACGAACUGGGCAACCCGUGGAACUUCCUUCAUGAUUGGGAUAGGGGUUUGCAAUUGUGCCCCUUGAACGAGGAAUUCCCAGUAAACACUAGUCAUCAGCUAGUGCUGAUUACGUCCCUGCCCUUUGUACACACCGCCCGUCGCUACUACCGAUUGAAUGGUUUAGUGA